AACGAACGCUGGCGGCAUGCCUAACACAUGCAAGUCGAACGAACCCUUCGGGGUUAGUGGCGCACGGGUGAGUAACGCGUGGGAAUCUGCCCUUUGCUUCGGAAUACCAGUUAGAAAUGACUGCUAAUACCGGAUGAUGUCUUCGGACCAAAGAUUUAUCGGCAAGGGAUGAGCCCGCGUAGGAUUAGGUAGUUGGUGGGGUAAAGGCCUACCAAGCCGACGAUCAUUAGCUGGUCUGAGAGGAUGAUCAGCCACACUGGGACUGAGACACGGCCCAGACUCCUACGGGAGGCAGCAGUGGGGAAUAUUGGACAAUGGGCGCAAGCCUGAUCCAGCAAUGCCGCGUGAGUGAUGAAGGCCUUCGGGUCGUAAAGCUCUUUUACCAGGGAUGAUAAUGACAGUACCUGGAGAAUAAGCUCCGGCUAACUCCGUGCCAGCAGCCGCAGUAAAAC
rnacentral:rRNA from 1 species